AUUAAAUUUUAAAGCUUUCGCUUUCUUUGUAAAAACUGUUUAUUUGAAUGAAAUUUUACAUAACACGGUUGCACGAAAUACAUAGCUUUUAAAAGUUAUUACAGAAAUAUUUCUGAAAUAUUUUAGAUAAAUUUGAAAACAUUUAAUAAUGUCGUGAUAUAAAACAUAAAAUUGUUAUGAAAACCACAUAAAGUAUUCUUUAAAACUUAAAAAAAAAAAGAAAAAUAUUUGAAAAAUGUCUAAUAAUUUACUAAAAGCAAUAAAUUUUGUAGUAUAACACGGCAACUCGACAUUGGAGUUUUUUGUAUUUUUUAGUACCAUGCAACCCGCGCGAAGUGUCCAUUGCCUUGAGUUGUUGUUGUUCAUAGUACCAAAAUCUGCACUACAACCCGCGCCAAGUGUCGAUUUAGUAGUAUUUAUCGACAUAAAUCCUUGCGAAGUGUCUUGCGUUUUCCUUCAUUCUAUUGUAUUCGUAUCGCAAUUUCUUUCUAUGUAUUUUAGAUUAUCUACUUGUAGGUUUACACAAUGGUUUUUACGUUGUUGUCACUUUUCCUUUCAGGAAGAACUGAAGAAAAUUAUUCAAUUUGUGAUUUUUGUCAUCGUCGCGAAAAGCGUUUGUGGACAUUACUUUUAUGAAUGAAGCAACUUUGCCAACUGAAUGUGCGCUUGCGUUGAAUGAAAAUGUUUUUGUUGUGUUUGCUACAAAAUUAGACUUCGUCAAUUUGCUGGCAUAUUGACUUAUGACGCUGCUUCUGCGCCUUGAGACAUACAUAUGUAUGUAUGCACGCAAGUUUUUUUUGAUAUUCUUACAAGUACUCGCUUAUGUGUACAUUAGGGUGGCCAUUAGUUGUAUGGAGGAUAAAAAAAGUUUCUGGAUUCUCGAUCGCACCCCCUAGAAAUAUGCGAAUAGCCCAAAAACUAGUACAUACAAAGUUUUGGGUCAAUCUAAAAACGUUUAGAGGUUGCGCAAGGAGCUUGAAAUCCUGAAAAAAUAAGAAUUUUUGCCAUUUUUAUGUAUUUUUAUAAUUUCGCUUAAAAAUGAAUUGUGUUGGUAAUGCGGGCACGAACUGUCUACUGAAAUUCAAUUUAUUUCAAAAUAAACGAGGUGGAGAAAUUAAAAAGAAAAGUUUGGACAAAGGCCGAGACACUACUUUUCCUGAGUUGCUACAGCGAGAGGAUAUGGGCAUGUUUUAGAAGACAUGAUAUUUCAAGGAUUUGCGGAUGAAACGGUCAAUGCGGCUGCUCUCGUCGCAAAAAUGCGAACACUUUUGAGUGCAUAUACAUACAUACAUCGGCGAAAGAUAAUGAGGGGCAGACCGGGCCUGCUCUGUGCAUAUAUGCAGGAGAUGGACGAUAUUUUUGACGACAGUUGUAUGGUGUCCAUCAACAUCGGGACAGACCCCCAAGAGGCUCUAACUGAAACAUAUGGUAAGUUAAAAAGUUUAUUUAUUAUGUAUUGCCCAAGCUCUCACCAACAGUUGAAGACGUACCAAGUACAUCUAGAUAGAGUAGGCUGUCUGUCCUACACACCUAGUCAAAGAGCCGCACACGGUGAUUGCUAGUCCAUCUCCUAGAUAUCGCAAAAGUACAAGAGAGCGAUACUUCGAAAAAAAACUCGAACUAAAGAAAAUAAGUGUAGAAGAAAAAGAGAAAUUACAGGCGAAUAUGCACAAAAUGAUGGAAGAUUUAUUUAAUAAACGAUACGUCCAAGUGGAAAUUGAACAAAAAAAACUAAACAUAGAAAAAAAGAAACUUAAGCUUCUCCACCAAUGUUGUAGUACUGAAUAAAACGCAGUAAUACUUUUAUUGAAAGAAAAUAAAUUGUUUUUUUACUGUUUUAUAUGUAUAUGCAUGUACAAAUGA